rnacentral:rRNA from 1 species
UACGUAGGGUGCAAGCGUUGUUCGGAAUUACUGGGCGUAAAGGGCGCGUAGGCGGGCUCGUAUGUCGAUUGUGAAAGCCCUGGGCUUAACCCGGGAAUGGCAGUCGAAACUGCGAGUCUUGAAUGCUUGAGAGGAUGGCGGAAUUCCCGGUGUAGAAGUGAAAUUCGUAGAUAUCGGGAAGAACACCUGAGGCGAAGGCGGCUAUCUGGCGAUGCAUUGACGCUGAGGCGCGAAAGCGUGGGAGCAAACAGG